UACGUAGGGUGCGAGCGUUAAUCGGAAUUACUGGGCGUAAAGCGUGCGCAGGCUGUUCUGUAAGUCAGAUGUGAAAUCCCCGAGCUCAACUUGGGAACUGCGUUUGAAACUAACAGGACUAGAAUAUGUCAGAGGGGGGUAGAAUUCCACGUGUAGCAGUGAAAUGCGUAGAGAUGUGGAGGAAUACCAAUGGCGAAGGCAGCCCCCCUGGGAUAAUAUUGAACGCUCAUGCACGAAAAGCGUGGGGAGCAAACAGG
rnacentral:rRNA from 1 species